rnacentral:rRNA from 1 species
GACGUAGGGCGCGAGCGUUGUCCGGAUUUAUUGGGCGUAAAGAGCUCGUAGGCGGCUUGUCGCGUCGAAUGUGAAAUUUUAGGGCUCAACCCUGACAUUGCAUUCGAUACGGGCAGGCUUGAGUUCGGUAGGGGAGACUGGAAUCCCUGGUGUAGUGGUGAAAUGCGUAGAGAUCAGGGGGAACACCCGUGGCGAAGGCGGCCGGCUGGGCCGUCCCUGACGCUGAGGCGCGAAAGCAUGGGGAGCGAACAGG